GAGGGUAUAGCUCAGUGGUGGAGUGCAUGACUAGCAAGCACGAGAUGUCCUGGGUUCGAUCCUCAGUACCUCCA
rnacentral:tRNA from 1 species